UGCAGGUUCGACAGCGAACAUUUGUUAGAUUUAAAGUAAGGAAUUCACCUCACAGCUAUAGAAGUCACGCUGUAAAAUGUUAACAUUUUUAACAGUUCUACACAUAUUCAACAAAGAAUAUGAAGAGAAAUAAAUGGCAUAUAUGCCCAAGCAGAGAAGAUUAAUAGAGAUAAAUAUAUGUAUGGCCACGACGAAUUUCGUUUUGCUUGUUUAUAUUUAAUUCCACUUUUAACAGCGAAUAAAUUGUACAAAACACACUCUCAUACAAACAUACAUAUGCGUACACGUGUGAAUAUGUCACCAACAUAAAAUUGAAGCUCUGUUAGCCGCGCAAUCGAACCGUCAUACAGAAUUCAAUUUGCACCUUCUCUAUGUAUUUAUGUUCUCUGGACGCAUGUCAUUCGUGAUCGUACCAUCGUAAAGGAGGCUCGUACAACAAGAAUCAUUGGAAAUCAGAACUAAAUUGUAAAUAGCAGCAGCAGCAAUAUCAUCAGAAGCAGCAAAUAUAAAUUGUUAAAUAUUAUUAUGAUUUUUAUUUAAUUAAUCUUUGCUUUCAGAGUAAAUUCUAUUCGCAUGUAAUAUACUAUAUUUUAUUUUA